rnacentral:rRNA from 1 species
CCCUUAGAUGUUCUGGGCCGCACGCGCGCUACACUGACGAAGUCAGCGAGCAUGUCCUACGCCGACAGGUGCGGGGAAUCUUGUCAAACUUCGUCGUGAUGGGGAUUGAUUAUUGAAAUUCUUGAUCAUCAACGAGGAAUUCCUAGUAAGCGCAAGUCAGCAGUUUGCGUUGAUUACGUCCCUGCCCUUUGUACACACCGCCCGUCGCUACUACCGAUUGAAUGGUUUAGUGAGAUCUUCGGAUUGGCGCCACUGCGGCUCAGCAAUGGGCUCGGUGGAUGCCGAAAAGUUGAUCAAACUUGAUCAUUUAGAGGAAGUAAAAGUCGUAACA